CCUACGUGCGGCAGCAGUGAGGAAUAUUGGUCAAUGGGCGCGAGCCUGAACCAGCCAAGUCGCGUGAGGGAAGACGGUCCUAUGGAUUGUAAACCUCUUUUGUCGGGGAGAAAAAGACGCCACGCGUGGCGUUCCGAGAGUACCCGAAGAAAAAGCAUAGGCGAACUCCGUGCCAGCAGCCGCGGUAAUACGGAGGAUGCGAGUGUUAUUCGGAUUUAUUGGGUUUAAAGGGUGCGCAGGCGGAAGAUCAAGGCAGCGGUAAAAUUGAGAGGCUCAACCGCUUGGAGCCGUUGAAACUGGUUUUCUUGAGUGAGUGAGAAGUAUGUGGAAUGCGUGGUGUAGCGGUGAAAUGCAUAGAUAUCACGCAGAACUCCGAUUGCGAAGGCAGCAUACCGGCGCUCAACUGACGCUCAUGCACGAAAGUGUGGGUAUCGAACAGGAUUAGAUACCCCAGUAGUC
rnacentral:rRNA from 1 species